rnacentral:tRNA from 1 species
GCCUGAGUGGCUCAGUCAUUUAAGCAUCUGACUUCAACUCAGGUCAUGAUCUCACAGGUCAUGAGUUCAAGCCUCAUCAGGCU